GCUGUGUGCCUGCUUGUGUAGGGAGCCCAUUCCUCUGUCCCCCGCCUCUCCCUGGACCAUGAGGACCAGGGACAUGGUGAUGGACCAGAGCAGAGCCAACGAGCCUGCAGUGACUCAAGCAUCACACAGAGACGCUAGAGAAGAAACGGAGGGCAGCGCUCCAGACGCGCCAGAUGGCGGCCAAGUGCAAAAGCAAUGGUUGUCGAUGAUGAGCCUGAGGUUGAAAGGUGGAGAAAUGAGGGCUGAAGAGAAAAUCUGGCUUUGAGCCUGUUACAAUGGAACAGUAUCACAGCAUCAGAAUCACAGCUGUGAGACACUGGUCUCUUCUGGUUUCCCCAAGAAGAAACAAGUGAUUGUUGGUUUCCCCAAGGAGAAACAAGUGAUUAUUUCUGAAACUCCAGUGGAAAAAAAAAAAAAUGAAAGAGUCAAAGACAAGUUCAAUGAUAAAAGCAAAACUGGGUGUAUCAGGCCCCCAUUUUCCUCCAUCCUCUUUUCACACCAGGUCUUCUCUAAACCUUGAAGAAACAAGAGCAUUUCUUAGAGUAAGAAAAAGAGACAGAAUUGGAACUCAUAUAAAGAGGGAAAAUAUCAACAUCAAAAGAGCCUCUGUUUAGCCAGGUGUUCCAGCCAGCAGGAGGUCUGCCUUUUACCCAAGUCUCCCACCAGGAAAGAGAAGACAAUCUUGCCAAGGUAGAGUGAAAAUUCAGCAUUGGACCAGAAAAAUGAGACUUCUGUUCACUGAGGAAUUGAUUCAUGAAAGAAAGGAGGAGGGGACUGAAAUAAAAACCCAGAGGAAAUCUGAACUGCAGAUCUGGGGACAAGCUAAGCUUUUGUGCUAUGUGUUAGAUUAGCGAGGAUGAUGAUUACCUGAAAUUAGGAAAACGAAAAGCAAGACAGGAAUGCGAUAGCCUGAAAAACCAGAGUCCCCAGAGCCCUACUUGUCCUGCCAUGACUGCCUGAUCCUGCACAGUUUUUCCCAGGGUGAGUAUAACACAGAAUUCUGCAUGCUUAGGGACAUGUUUGAUGGAUUAAACUAAAAUCUAACCUGGGAUAUCCAUUACAUUGCAAGAAGCAUGCUUAAUAUACAUGGAGUUGGGAGGAAAGUGUUUAUGAUGAGAGGCAGAGAUGAGUCAAGCCUGCUUUUUAAAAUUCAUAAGAUUAAUGCUCAUGUUACUCAAGGUCCAAAGAGUUCAUGAUUUCACUUUCUGAUCAUGCUUUAGUUCCCAUCCCCACUAGAAAGAUCUUAGUUGUUUCAAUCCUGUCUCCAGAGAACUAAAAUAUCCUGAAGUCAUUUCCAGGGGUGUAAAAUGAUAGCAAGCAAGCCCUGAAUUAGCAUUCUUCAAACCCUUUCAGGGCUCAAUGUCCCUUGGAAAAGAGGCACAAAGAAAACAAUGUUAUAGCCAAUCCUGGUGAUGCUCUAUCAAUACCAGUAUUUUGUCUUUCAAAACACGGGGCCUAAAUGCUGAAUAUCAAAGAGACGGGUAUAUUAAAUCUGGAUCAGCUGGCUAGGGUAUGAGGACAGCUGAAGUAUUCGCAUCUCUAAGGUUGCCAAUCCAGGUGAUAAAGGGUUAAGACCUAAAGUCAAGGAAAAUAUGGUCAGCUGGUCUGGACCAGUCAACACAUUUCAGAAUAAUGGUUUGAGGUCUGAG
ensembl:lncRNA